AUUGAACGCUGGCGGCGUGCUUAACACAUGCAAGUCGAGCGGAGCGGCGAACGGGUGCGUAACGCGUGAGUAACUGCCCCCCUCUCUGGGAUAACAGUUGGGAACGGCUGCUAAUCCCCGAUAGUGGGGGAUGACUCGGGUCCUAUCAGCUUGUUGGUGGGGUAGUGGACUACCAAGGCGACGACGGGUAGCCGGCCUGAGAGGGGGACCGGCCACACUGGGCUGAGAUACGGCCCAAAAUCCUACGGGAGGCAGCAGUGGGGAAUAUUGCACAAUGGGGGAAACCCUGAUGCAGCAACGCGCGUGCGUGAUGACGGCCUUCGGGUUGUAAACCGCUUUCAGCCAUGACGCGGUAGUGGCAGAAGAAGCACCGGCUAACUACGUGCCAGCAGCCGCGGUAAUAC
rnacentral:rRNA from 1 species